CUGCUUCGCCCUUUGCCACCGCUAAAGCAGCCGUGGAGGGGUUUGGAGGGGCGGUGGGAGAGGAAUAGCCGAACAAACAGUGAGUUGGCCGAGCAAACAGCGGCCGAUGUGAAACAAUCGGGUCCCGUUCUGCUAAAGCUCAGCAAAUACUGCGUAAGACCUGCUGCUGGCAGUGGUGCUUGCCCUAGUCAUCAGGCAGAGUAUCAGAGGGCAGAUACAGAACAACCUGGGGAGGCAGGGAGAAGUUGUGCAAGAGACAGAUCUGGCCAGCAUGACUCAACACUCAUUAGCAGCGGCACACCUAUGAGAAGCCCAUUAAACCUGAAAGGAAGAAGCUCAGACACAAGACUCAUGCUGCACCCUGGGAGAAGACCGGAAUGGACUGGUUUGGCUUCAAGCUUUACAGAUGCAACUCCUCCAGCCUGUGCUGAGUCACUGAUCACAAUUAAAAGACAGCAGCAAUCACAGAGAGAUGGAUGUUCCCAUCAUCAUCAGCAGCAGCAUCAGAAAUCACCAAGGCUUGUGGAAGAGAGGACUGAAAGAAAAGUUAUGGCUAGUACUGAGCAGGUGUUAAGAAGCAAGCUGGAUGAAAAGUGCCUGAGGAUCCCUGUGGGCAUGCAGAGCUCUGUGUGUUGCUGGUGAAGGGAAACUCCUGUCCCAGGGAGCUGUACUAGCAGAGGGUACAUAAACUGCAGGGGACCCCAUUGCUGCUAAUGAGGCAGUGAAUUUCCUAUAGGAACCCCAUGGAAAGGGUCCUCAAAACAACAUCCUGUGAUCUCAGGGGCAAGCAAACAUCAGUCUCAGUCCAAUUCUUGAACGUCAACUCUGCCCCUUGUUCCCGGAUCAUUGAGAGCUGCUGGGCUCCUGUUUAUCUCACCUUUGGUCCUGCUCUGUGUUUACAGUUAAGCUGUUCAUUCAAGUGCCAUAUAAGUUUGUUAGGAUUUGCUGAGGGAGCAAAGGUCUUCAAGCAGAAGAUGAGAACAGAGGAAAAAUAGCCUCUGGCUGCCACGCUUCUCCAGGGCUUGCUUCAGAGAUGUUACUCAAGCAACAGGAAUCCUCCUGAACUGAGUUCCUAGAAAGUCCCUGAGGAAAAGAUUUUCACAUUUUCUAUGGCUCAGCUGCCAGCUCUGAAGAAUGGGAUGGCCAAGAGUCCCCCUGUUGAGCAGUGGAGCCAAAGUUUUUUGUCUGUGUGACACACAGCCCUCUGCUCUGAGCUGACACAAGGGAGCUGAGGGUCUUGCUCUAUCAUGAGAGUCUUCCUUGUCAACAUGGAUGAAGCUAUAUGAUGAUCAACCAGACUUCCAAGAGCUAUUCCUGUGUCAGAUUCAACACUGUGACUUGAGAUGGAGAGCAAAGAAAAGGCAAUUGAGUCCAGUGGAUGCUGACAAUUCAAGUCAGGAACCUCGGCUAUGUAAAUAUAUCAAUAACUGCUUUGUUUAUGUUGGCCAAAGUACUUGUUUCUCUGAAUUGUGGCAUUCACCCAGUAUUGUGCUUCUCUCAAAACAAACACCCCACUGCCUGGGCAGAUAUCCCAUGGUACUGCCACCAUGCUCUGGGCAUGCUGGCAAUGUCAUACUGUUGCUAUGUCAACAGGAGUCUAAAUGGAGUUCUUUUCUUGUCUUUGGGGUGCUGUUCCUUCCCUUAUUGGAAUGCAGCAAAGAUCUCCACUAACUUGUACAUAAGGUGUAACAGAGAGGCAGGGCUUCUGCCACAGCGUCAAACAAGCCUUGGCCUGUGCAUUAAGGGUGCUGGGGCAGUGCUUCAAGGCCCUGGAGACUAGACAGUAUUUGGGAUGCAGAAGCAUUUGUUAAAAGCAUAUCUGGAGGCUGUUUGGAUCCCUGGUAGAAAGCGGGAAGUGUCCGGGAGUUCGUUUUUCGGAAUUGCUCUCCAAUGGCGCCAGUCUGCCUGUUUGCAACAUUUCACCCAGUUUUGCAAAUCUGACAGCCCUCUGGUCAGCGUUACAUGUUCUGCCACAAAGUUUUGCGAAACAUCCUCUGCCUCUUAUCGAAACAACAGGGUAGAGUUCUGCUUGUGGUAAAAGUUCACAACACUGAAGCAGCCAGAAAAACCUAUUUUGGGACAAAUCAGCACCUAAUUUUGGAAUGAAGCUGCACUAGUGUGUGCCACCUGAGGAUACUGUGAUGUGGUAGUAAUGCCAUUCCACAGAUUUCCAUGGCCCACUAACUUCAGGGAUGACUUUAAGGGGUUGUGCCCCCUCAGCACACUGAUGAACUGAAGAUCUGAUAUCUCCUGUCUGUCUUGUGGACAUCAGGGCGCUGCAGCCUUCCUAAUGACUAGUCAGCUCUCAAUGGCUCAUCCUGAGCAUUCCUGCUCCUGACCUGCCUGCGGGGUUUUUUAACCAUCAGCUUGCCAGACCAAUUUCUUCAGUAUGUAUUUGCCUACAUUGGCAGACAUUCUCUUAAGCACUAGGACAUUGGACAUUCUCUUAGGUCACUGACAUAGAUGUGAGCAUGCUAAGCCCUAAACAACUGUGUCCCACUUUCUCUUUUGCCUUGACCUUAGUGUAAUCUGAGUUUCACUUCCAGUAGGUGUCAUGGUGAGAGGUGAAGAAAGAGGAGACAAUGGAGGUGAAGCUGGGCUGUUAUUCAUAGGGACAAAUUACAUGUGAGCUAUGCACCAUCAGACAAAUACUGCCUUUGAGACCACUGUGUUGCCCCCUUUAUCAUCCAGCUAUUCUGACCUUUAUGAUUUACCCCCUACCACCCUCAUUCCCCAUGCUGUGAUUUAUGCCCUUGCUCCAUUGUGUCUAUCUGUUCUCUGGGACAGGUUUGUACAGCUGAUGGAGAGUUUAUUGGAACUGGGGCUUAAUCUUCACCCCAUGUGUGCAAAUUCGUCAUGAAAAAUAAUAAGCAGCAUGCUAAUAAACUUCACUUGUGAAGGUGUAGAGUGAUAUGUUCUUGCAGUAUAUAAAACUGCUCUAGAGAGGAGGGUGGUGCUUGUGGAAGAAGUCAUGCUCUGUAUUUUCAGGUUCCUCACUGACACACCUCAUCGAUUGCACGGCUUGCUUGAGGUUCCCCAGUCUUCCAAGAAGACAGAAAGCCUCCUUAGAACUCCUUCACCACACCCCCUUCUCCUUGAACCAACCUCUAAAUAAGUGUCUGACCAUAAUCAGACAAGGAAGCUUGGAACCCUAAAUGUUUUGGGCUUACCCAGCCACAGCUCAUGUUUGCAGUGCACAGGCAUGCCCUUGAUGCCCUUGGGCAGAGGAAGGCUGGGUCCACCAGAGCAAUCCCGUUCCUGAUAAACGGUCUCUGCUUUCCCACAGACUUGAAGCAUUUGUGCAGCAGAGCAGGUGAUGUUUUACUCUUUGUAUAAAUCUAGAAGUCUGUAUUCAGCAAAACCAAAAAUUUUUAAUGAGCAAGAGAAACAUGGACUACUUUUUUCCUGGAAAACCCAUCUGCUUUCUCAGUGGCUGGAGCUCCUGGUUUGUGCUGGCCUUUGUAGGGAGUGCUUCAGAGAGGUUUGUGGACAGGGUAUAUCAGACAGAACUUUCCUGCAGAGGUGUUCUCAGAGGCCCCCUGUGGUGUGUUGGGACUUUGAGAUGGAUCUGUGUUCUUUAUUAAAUUCAUGAAAGGGACACAGAGGACUUAAGUAGCAUUUAUUCGAUUUCUUUGUGGGUAUUUUUUUUUUUCUUGAAAUAAAGCUCUUUUCCCUUUUGUUUUAUUGGAAGCACAAUCACAGCAGGGUGUCCAAAAUCAGGCAGGGCCGUGCUUGGCCGGGCCCCAAUGGGAAGCAGCGUGCAGUCCAGCAGGGUUGUGCCUCGGAUACAUUCUGUGGUUCUCCAUUCCCCACUUCAACUAAUUCAUGACUCACAUUCACCGGGUACCAAAUUACUCCUGGACCCUCUUGGUUAACUCUGCCUCUCUCUGUCACACCAGCUGCCACGAGAUAGGUGUAGGUCUAAUUCUGGCCCUGAACUGUAUGCUAAUAGGCCACACCAGGUCACCAUCCCUGCAAGCUUCUUUGAACACAUGAAAUUUCCACUGACCGUAACUGCCUGAAGUGGUUUCCCUCUCUGCAGGGCCACAGGAGGUGCCAAGCUACCAUAAAACAGUGCCUGAGGUAGUGCUCAUAACCACACUGUACCCAGAGGAUCCUGAUCUGAGUGAGAUCAGUCCCUCUCAUGCUGGGCUUUAGAUAUAUGAAAUAUUAUACAUAUCUAUAACUGUAUAUUUUAUAUAUUAUUUUGUGUAUAUAUUCAAUAUAAUUUUUAAUAAAAUGUAAUAAAUAUUUAUA